rnacentral:rRNA from 1 species
UACGGAGGGAGCUAGCGUUGUUCGGAAUUACUGGGCGUAAAGCGCACGUAGGCGGCUUUGUAAGUUAGAGGUGAAAGCCCGGGGCUCAACCCCGGAAUAGCCUUUAAGACUGCAUCGCUUGAAUCCGGGAGAGGUGAGUGGAAUUCCGAGUGUAGAGGUGAAAUUCGUAGAUAUUCGGAAGAACACCAGUGGCGAAGGCGGCUCACUGGACCGGUAUUGACGCUGAGGUGCGAAAAGCGUGGGGGAGGC